GGAGCGCCAGCCAGGUGAGCCCGACCCGUGCCCUUGCCAGUGAGUCCCCGCCUCUAACCUAAGGCAGCGCUCCGGGAAGUGAUCUCGGUGCUCAAGGCGGCAAAGUUCCUGUAACAGGAUAAAACCGUAAGGAAUGCGUUGAAAGAUGCCAUUGUUCUCGUUGGAAAAAAUCUGGGUGGUCACAUGUCUAAGGAUCUUGGGCGGUGAGGAGACACCUUUCUUCAGGAAACCAUUUGUAGAAGUGAUUGCCAUCAGUGAUUCAACUCUGGGGUCGUGCAUUCACUUGGAAUGAAUGAGAAGAAAAAGGUGCCUCUUCUGCACGUGGGACGAGUGCCUUGCACACCUCACGGUCCCCUAGAGGGCGGCCCAGUCCCGCAGGCCAUCUGGAGUUGUUUUGCUCUGCAUGGCCAGGCACCUAAACUCCGUACAAUGGGAUGUGUGCAGUUUCGGAAUUAUACCUUCCAAAAGAAGGAAGCAUGCGAACCUGUCCCCCCUCCCCUCUUCCUGCUAGCUGUAAUGCCGAUGUAAUGGUAUGGUCUGGAUCACGUGUUGGAUCCCAGAUAGAAGCGCUUGUUGAAGAUGACUGACCAACAAGAGAGAAUGACUCCUUGAGACCGUGGAGGCAUCAUGUCAACCUUGGAUUGUGAACAUCAUGUCAACCUUGGAGAGAAAUAAACCGUCAUCUUAUCUAGGCCUGCAUCGUCUAAUAUGGUAGCCAUCAGCCACAUGGGGCUAUUGGACAGUGAAAGUGUGGCUGGUGUCACACACUGAAAGUUUUGAUAUAUUGGAUUGAAUAAAAUAUGCUGUUAAAAGGAA